rnacentral:rRNA from 1 species
UACGUAGGGUGCGAGCGUUUAAUCGGAAUUACUGGGCGUAAAGCGUGCGCAGGCGGUUCGUUGUGUCGGCGGUGAAAGCCCCGGGCUUAACCUGGGAAUGGCCGUUGAAACUGGCGAACUGGAGUGUGGCAGAGGGGGGUGGAAUUCCGCGUGUAGCAGUGAAAUGCGUAGAUAUCGAGAGGAACACCUGCGGCGAAGGCGGGUUGCUGGGCCGACACUGACGUGAUGCGCGAAAGCCAGGGGAGCGAACGGG